rnacentral:rRNA from 1 species
UACGAAGGGGGCUAGCGUUGCUCGGAAUUACUGGGCGUAAAGCGCACGUAGGCGGAUUUGUAAGUCAGGGGUGAAAUCCCGGGGCUCAACCUCGGAACUGCCUUUGAUACUGCGAGUCUUGAGUCCGAUAGAGGUGGGUGGAAUUCCUAGUGUAGAGGUGAAAUUCGUAGAUAUUAGGAAGAACACCAGUGGCGAAGGCGGCCCACUGGAUCGGUACUGACGCUGAGGUGCGAAAGCGUGGGGAGCGAACAGG